rnacentral:rRNA from 1 species
UACGUAGGGUGCAAGCGUUAAUCGGAAUUACUGGGCAUAAAGCGUGCGCAGGCGGUUUUGUAAGCCAGAUGUGAAAUCCCCGGGCUUAACCUGGGAAUGGCAUUUGGGACUGCAAGGCUCGAGUGCGGCAGAGGAAGACUGGAAUUCCUGGUGUAGCAGUGAAAAUGCGUAGAUAUCAGGAGGAACACCGAUGGCGAAGGCAGUCUCUGGGCUGACACUGACGCUCAUGCACGAAAGCG